ensembl:lncRNA
UCCAUAUGCAUGCAGGAUUGGGCUGUAGGACUGCUCAUCUAGAUGAAAGCACAACACAUGAAGAGUUAUGUGAAGCCCUCAAAGUUUUAUUUCCAAAAUUGGGGGCUGUGACCGGUGGGUGGCUGCUAUACAAAUCUGCAGGUGGAUGGGGUAGCCGAAAACUCUCUCGUGGCUCCUGAUGAGACUGGCUAUACAGUUAUAAAUCCACCAACUUUUGCAGCUCUUAGAAUUUGAGUCAACGAGAGAAGCUUGCAAUGCAAUGCAAUGGAUGUAGUGUUCCUUACCUAGCAAGCUUCUGGACCAUGGUUCUGCCUUCGACUUCCUUCUUUUGGAGAUUGGAAACCCAAAUUGACAUACACAGACAGAUUUAUGGUCCGAUCUCACAUUGAACCUUGAGGCUUGUACAGUCAUUUACCCUCAAAAAACAGUGAGGGACCUAGGGUGUUACUCUACAACCUGAUCCUUUUUUUUUGUAAAACAUUUAAAUGUACUUCAAAAGCAUCUAUUUUCAAUAUUGCAAAACAUUUCAAAAAAUCUGAAACUUUAAAAAACAAUGCAGAAUGAGAUAGUCUUAGUGUUUCUUAUUUUAAGAUUAGACUUUUGUAAUUUUCUUCACACAACCCUGAUAAGACAAUAAAUUAGUAUUAAUUAGUGCUAAAUGCAGUCACUAGAAUCUGAACUGGAACCAAAAAAUAUCACAAUACUCCAAUACUAGCCUCUCUACACAGACUAGGUCUAACUUUAAGGGGUUACUGUUGCAAGCUGCAAAUUAUUACAUGGUCUCGCUCCUACUUACCUGUCUGAAUUGGUCCUGCCGUACAUACUUAUACAUAUGCUGCAGUGUCAAGAUGCAGGCCUCUUUACUCCUGAAUGACUCAAGCUUUAGACCUCCAUUAUUGUGGAAUGAUCUACCUACAAUAAUUAAUACAAAGUGUUUACUGAAGAUUCAUAUCAUCAGUAGGGUCUAUAACUAAUUGUAAUAUUGGUCAGGGUUCACUGGCAUGCUUGUAGUAUACCCAGGUUUUUUCCUGGCUCAGAAUGGGCCUUUGGGUGUGACUACGCACGACAGUAAGCAUGAUGGAUCCACGUACAGUAAAGGCAAUGAGUUACCUUAUGACAGAAAUCUAUGCAUUUUCUUAUUUCUGACCAUUUGAUAAAUAGAAAUGUCUAUCAUGCUUGAAUAAAUGAAACCCCAUUAACAAAACUGGUUAAAAAAUACAUGUAUUACAACAUUGGAAGGGGGAGAGGGG